UCUAAUUGAACAAUUUCCCUUUCCUCUUUGAUAUUGAUUAGCUCACCAAUCCAUAUAUAACAUAACUCUAUUCGCUUUUCUGAUUGAUUGAUAUAGAAAAUAAUAGAAUUAGGAAAUCCUCUAUUUACUAUUCACUGAAUAAUAACCUUUUUGUUGACAAAAGAAUAAAGACCAUUUCUAUUCCAAGGUGGGGAGUUUUAUUUUCCCCAUCGACCUAUUUGCAGAAUAAAAUGCAAAUAAAAUUCUAUAUUUGCAUGUCUAUAGAAGAACGUAUAUAAAAAUCUUUAGUGAAAGUUAAGAACUCAUUGAAAGUAAUUGAUUCUAUUUUGAAACCUUUUUGUUUUCUCGAACUUUCUCACUUUUAAUUUUCUCUGAAUUAUUAUACAGACCGCCAUGUAUAUCUUGCCCUUAACCCAAUAGAGAAAAUUGCUUAAUGAAAUUUUGUAUGACUAAUUGUGAAUUUUUAGCGAUGCAAAAUUGGUUCUUUUCUUUCUAUUUUGUCGUCAAAAUCCCUUUUUUGUUUUAUUUUAUAUUUAUGAAAAAAAAAAAAAAAAAAAGAAAUUGCUGCUUAAACAAUGAAAACAAAAACUUUUUGAACUCUAUUCCUUAAUUGAGUAUAGAACGGUUUAGUUACAAGAGUUGAAUUCGAGGAAAGCAGAAAAUAUAGGAAAGACUCAGGUUAAAUAAAAAAAACUAAGACUCUAAACUCAAAUCAAAAAUAAUGAACCUUCAACCUCAAAUUCCUAUUUGAAUAACUUUUUAUUGGUAUUGAUCCAUUUGAAUCAUUACUAAACUAAAAUAGCUUACUCAAUCUCGACGAUUGCUUAUUCAUAGGCUAUUAUGAGUUCAAGACAAGCCGCUAUGGUGAAAUCGGUAGACACGCUGCUCUUAGGAAGCAGUGCUAAUGCAUCUCGGUUCGAGUCCGAGUGGCGGCAUACCAUCUUCUAAAAAGGAUAAAUAGAUCUUAUAAUGAAUUCAAUUCCCGAUUUCCAUUUUAGAAUUAUGUAAUUAAGGGACUCUUCUUUUUUAAGAUUUUUUAUGAUAUUUUCAACCUUAGAGCAUAUAUUAACUCACAUUUCCUUUUCGAUCGUUUCAAUUGUAAUUACAAUUCAUUUGAUAACCUUUUUAGUCGAUGAAAUUGUAAAACUAUACGAUUCGUCAGAAAAGGGCAUAAUAGUUACUUUUUUCUGUAUAACAGGAUUAUUAGUUACUCGUUGGGUUUCUUCAGGACAUUUCCCACUAAGCGAUUUAUAUGAAUCAUUAAUUUUCCUUUCAUGGAGUUUCUCCCUUAUUCAUAUAAUUCCAUAUUUCAAAAAAAAUGUUUUAAUUUUAAGUAAAAUAACUGGACCAAGUGCUAUUUUGACCCAAGGCUUUGCUACUUCAGGUAUUUUAACUGAAAUACACCAAUCUGGAAUCUUAGUACCUGCUCUUCAAUCUGAGUGGUUAAUAAUGCACGUAAGUAUGAUGAUAUUGGGCUAUGCAGCCCUUUUAUGUGGAUCGUUAUUAUCAGUAGCACUUCUAGUGAUUACAUUUCGAAAAAACAGAAAGCUUUUUUCUAAGAGCAAUGUUUUUUUAAACGAGUCAUUUUUCUUGGGUGAAAAUGUUGUCGAAAAUACUUCGUUUUUUUGUGCUAAAAAUUAUUACAGGUCCCAAUUGAUUCAACAAUUGGAUUAUUGGAGUUAUCGGGUUAUUAGUUUAGGAUUUACUUUUUUAACCAUAGGAAUCCUUUCGGGAGCGGUAUGGGCUAAUGAAGCGUGGGGUUCCUAUUGGAAUUGGGAUCCAAAAGAAACUUGGGCAUUUAUUACUUGGAUCGUAUUUGCCAUUUAUUUACAUACUCGAACAAAUAGAAAUUUGCGGGGUCCAAAUUCUGCAAUUGUAGCGUCGAUAGGUUUUCUUAUAAUUUGGAUAUGCUAUUUUGGGGUCAAUCUAUUAGGAAUAGGGUUACAUAGUUAUGGUUCUUUUCCAUCAACAUUUAAUUGAAUUCAAGACAAGUUAUUACAAAUACAAGAGCGGGCGACGCAUUGUAUGAACCAGCAUGCGGACCGUGUGAAUCAAAUAUUGUAUUGAUGAUUCACACGGUUUUCUACCAUAUGUAGUUCAAUUUCAUUGUUUUUACUUAAUUCUUAAGUUAAAAGAGAAGAAAAAAAGAAGACUUUUUUUCAUUGUCCAAGAAUGUUUUUAAAAACAAACAUAGGUUUUUUUAUUUCAGUCAUCCAAUUAUCUAUAAAAAAAAUUAGAUAGAAUAACUUCGACCUUGUCAACUGCUAAUGAAAGAACGAAAUCGGGGUAUAUACCAAUACCUAUUACGGGUAAAAAGAUGGAGAUCGAAAGAAAUAACUCUCGCGGUCCAGAAUCAAAAAAAGAAUCCUUCGGGGCGUUAAAUAACUUGUAUCCAUAGAACAUCUGGCGUGGCAUAGAUAAUGAAUAAAUAGGAGUUAAUAUAAUUCCAAUUGCCAUUACAAAAGUAAUUAGUAGUUUUGGCAUUAAAAGAUAUUUUUGGCCGGUAAUUAUUCCAAAAAAUACUAUCAAUUCGGCAACAAAACCACUCAUACCUGGUAAUGCAAGGGAAGCCAUCGAAAAGCUACUGAACAUCGUGAACAUUUUUGGCAUUGGAAUAGCUAUUCCGCCCAUUUCGUCAAGAUAAACAAGGCGGAUUCUAUCAUAAGUCGUUCCCGCCAAGAAAAAAAGUGCAGCACCAAUAAAUCCAUGAGAGAUUAUUUGUAAAAGGGCUCCAUUUAGUCCCGUAUCGGUUAGAGAACUAAUUCCUAUAAUUAUGAAACCCAUAUGAGAGACAGAGGAAUAGGCUAUUCUUUUUUUUAAAUUCCGUUGGCCAAGAGAUGUUGAAGCUGCAUAGAUUAUUUGUAUUGUACCUAUUAUCAUCAACCAAGGAGAAAAUAUAGAAUGGGCAUGAGGUAAUAAUUCCAUAUUGAUUCGAAUUAAUCCAUACGCUCCCAUUUUUAAUAAGAUUCCGGCUAGAAGCAUACAAGUACUGUAAUGUGCUUCUCCAUGGGUAUCUGGUAACCAUGUGUGUAGGGGGAUAAUGGGCGAUUUGACAGCAAAAGCAAUAAAAAAUCCAAUAUAGAAGAUUAUUUCUAAAACCACAGGAUAUGACUGAUUAACUGAUGUUUCAAAAUUUAAUGUUGGUUCAUUAGAACCAUAUAAAGCAACACCCAAAACUCCCAUUAAGAGAAAAACGGAACCCCCCGCCGUGUACAAAAUAAAUUUUGUAGCUGAGUACAGACGUUUCUUUCCUCCCCACAUGGCUAGAAGUAGAUAAACAGGAAUUAAUUCUAACUCCCACAUGAUGAAAAAAAGUAAAAGGUCCCGAGACGAAAAUAAUCCAAUUUGACCACUGUACAUUGCUAACAUGAGAAAAUGGAAUAAUCUAGAAUCUCGAGUAACUGGCCAAGCCGCUAAAGUCGCUAAAGUAGUGAUAAAUCCUGUUAAUAAAAUGGGUCCUAUAGAAAGUCCAUCUAUUCCUAAUCUCCAAUGGAAAUCAAAAAAAUCGAUCCAUUUAUAAUCCUCUACUAGUUGGAUUAAUGGAUCAUCCGAUUGGAAAUGAUAACAAAAUGCAUAAGUUGUUAGAAGGAGUUCUAAAAUACAUAUACAUAUUGUAUACCACCUAAUUACCCUAUUUCCUUUAUGGGGAAGAAAGAAAAUUAAAGAACCCGCAAAUAUCGGAAAAACGACAAUUAUUGUUAACCAAGGAAAAUAAUUCGUAGUAAAGACAAGAUACACUUGGACCAAAAAAACCCGUGCUCAAAAUAUUUUUAUUUUCGAGCACAGGUUUGUCGGUAAAAAAAUUAAAUGGAUUCAAGUAGAGUUUUCUCGAACGUAUCAAUAAGCUAGACCCAUACUGCGAGUUGUUUCAUGCCAUAAAUAAACUCGGACACUCAAGAAAUCUGUUGGACAGGCGGAUUCACAUCUCUUACAACCAACACAGUCCUCUGUUCGUGGAGCAGAAGCAAUUUGUUUAGCCUUACAACCGUCCCAAGGUAUCAUUUCUAAUACAUCAGUGGGGCAGGCUCGGACACAUUGAGUACAUCCUAUACACGUAUCAUAAAUCUUUACUGAAUGUGACAUUGGGCCUAUACGUUUUUGAAUGUUCUAAAUUUUCGAUCUAGUAAACUUAGAAACGAAUCGUAUAUUUAGAUACCAGAUGAAUCAAUGAGUUAUCAUAAUUUUCUAAUCAACCCCUUUCUGGAUUGGUUUAUGAGAUAUGAGAGAGGCCAAAAUACUUUGAUUUCUUAUGUUUUGCAAACAAGAUCAUACUUUACGUAGUAAACAUGCUAAUUAAAAUAGAUUUCUCAAUAUUAGAAUCUAGAUGAUUAAUAUUAAUUAUUCAACAAAUUUGAUUGGUUGAUACGAGUUGAUUUUCUGUUACGGUAAAUUGAUGAAACAAUAGCCAGGCCAAUGGCUGCUUCAGCGGCUGCAAUAGCUAUAACAAAAAUUGAGAAAAUGUCUCCCUUUAAUUGACGAUUAUCAAAAAAAUCAGAAAAUGUUACAAAAUUGAUAUUAACUGCAUUCAAUAUAAGUUCAAGACACAUAAGGGCUCUAACCAUAUUUCGACUUGUGAUCAAUCCAUAGAUACCGAUGGAAAAUAAAUAGGCACUCAAAACAAGUACAUGUUCGAGAAUCAUUAAACAACUCCUUAUCAAUCCCGACUCCUUUCAAUAUGAACAACAAUUCAACUAACUUAAUUGACUAGUAUAUAACAAGUAUGGAACAAAGAAAUAUAUUGUUACUAGAUUGACCUAAAGUCUUUCUAUUUAUCCAGCUAGAAUUCAAAUAGAAUUGAAGGAAAAUUAAUGUGAUAAGACAGAACAAAAUUUUAUUUGAAUUCCAAGUUUUAAUAGAAAUUUUUUAUUGACGAGCUACAGCAAUUGCACCUAUUAAAGCAACUAAAAGGAUUAUGGAAAUAAGUUCAAAUGGGAGAAAAAAAUCUGUUGAUAAAUGAAUUCCAAUUUGUUGACUAUUACUUAGAAAAUCUUGCUCUAUAAUCUGGUUUGAUCUUGUAGUCCAAAUAAUCCCGUACCAUGACGUAUCUGAAAUAGUAGUAAUUAGUGAAAUAAAAAGACUUAUACAAACCAUCGAAGUAAUUCCAUCUCCUACGGUCCAAAGAUGAAAAUCCUUGUAAUAUUCUGAGCCAUUCAUGAACAUCACAGCAAAAAUGAUUAAAACAUUUAUAGCUCCUACGUAAAUAAGUAGCUGCGCAGCAGCUACAAAAUAGGCGUUAGAUAGAAUAUAGAAUAACGAUGUACAAACAAGAACCAAUCCCAAGGAAAAGGCCGAAUAAAUUGGAUUGGGAAGUAAUACCACUCCUAGACCCCCUAAUAUAAGACCCGAUCCUAGAAAGACUAAAAGAAAAUCAUGUAUUGGUUCAGAUAAAUCCAUUUUUUAUAAAAAAUCAAAAACGAAGAAUUUCAUGACUUUAUUGACCUGACCAGGAAAAAAGCAGUUUUUCUAUUUUUUAUGAUACUUUGAAAUUGUUAAUUGAAUGAAAGUCUAAUGGGUAUGAAUUGACGUAGAUGCUUUUAUUUUAUUGGACCACUAUCCAUUCUUUAUUCGUCGAAAGAGGAGUUUAAACCUAUCUAUUUUUGAUAUCAUUUAUCUACUUUGAAACCAUUACUAUUAUAAUAUAUAAUAUUGAACUCGGUUUUGUUUUCAAUCUAAAUUAAGCUUAAGCUAGGAGUCUCAUUAAGAAACCACUAGUUUGAAUUGCCCAAGCAAAAAUCUCAUUGUUUUAGAUCCGAACUAAGCCUUCGUAAUUUGUAAUUUUUUUGAAUCAAAUUAAGGGUUUAUUCAUUGUUUAUUUGAGGUAAAUUCGAAAUUGUUCGAAUUGUGUAAUCAUCAAUUACUGACAUUGGUAAGCGACCCAAAGCGAUUUGAUUAUAAUUCAAUUCGUGACGAUCAUAAGUAGAAAGUUCAUAUUCUUCGGUCAUUGAUAAACAAUUUGUUGGGCAAUACUCAACGCAAUUACCACAAAAUAUACAGAUUCCAAAAUCAAUACUGUAAUUAAGCAAUCGUUUCUUUCGAAUAUCAGUUUCCAACUUCCAAUCAACAACGGGUAAAUCUAUAGGACAUACACGCACACAUACUUCACAAGCAAUGCAUUUAUCAAAUUCAAAGUGUAUUCGGCCUCGGAAACGUUCCGAUGUGAUCAAUUUUUCGUAGGGGUAUUGAAUAGUUACAGGUAAACGAUUUGCGUGGGACAGGGUAAUCAUGAAACCUUGGCCGAUAUAUCUGGCGGCUCGUAUUGUUUGUUGACCAUAAUUUAUGAAUUCAGUUAUCAUAGGGAGCAUAUGUUGAAUAUCUAUAAAAAAGAUUUUAUGCUUGUUUCUUUCUCUUGUUUGAGACAAGUCGUGAAUCUAGGAUAUUGUGGUCUUUUACAGUGAAAGAAGUUGGGACGAGGUUGUCAAUAAUAGAUUACCUAGAGAAAUCGGUAAAAGAAAUUUCCACCCAAGAUUUAAUAGUUGGUCCAUUCUCAGCCUCGGUAAAGUCCAUCUUGUUGCAAUGGGAAUGAACAAAAACAAAUAAGUUUUGGCUAAUGUGAUAAAGAUACCAAUUAGUGUUCCAAAGACUUUACCUCCUUUAUUUAUGCCAAAUAUAUCAGGAACAAAUAUGUACGGAAUAGAAAGAUUCCAACCUCCCAAGUAAAGAACUGUUACAAAUAAUGAAGAAACUAGUAGAUUCAGAUAUGAAGCAAUGUAAAAUAAACCAAAUUUGAUACCAGAAUAUUCGGUUUGAUACCCUGCUACUAAUUCUUCUUCUGCUUCUGGUAAAUCAAAAGGUAAUCUUUCACACUCGGCGAGAGAAGAAAUUAGAAAAACGAUAAACCCGAUGGGUUGACGCCACAAAUUCCACCCCCAAAAACCAUAUUUUGACUGCGCUUCCACUAUAUCAACUGUACUUAAACUGUUAGAUAAUCAUAGUCGAUGAUAACAUCACUGUGCCCAUCGCUAUUACAGAACCGUACGUGAGAUUUUCACCUCAUACGGCUCCUCAGAGGUCACAACUAAAUCUAAGGGCCCUUUCCUAUUCUUUAUCUUGAUAUGUUUGUCAGAUAGAGUCAAAAUCUAUUCUAAGGUCCCAAAUUAGACCAAUGGAAUUCUGUCUGCUAUAUUUAAAACUAAUAAAUAAGUGCUUCUGAAUUUAUCUCAUCUUUUAAGAAUUUUAAUUUUUCUUUGUUGAUUAAUAACCUUAUCAUUAAAUAAAAAAAUGUGCUUUAUAGCAAUAUCACAUAUACAUUUCAACCUCGAAUUUUCAAUUACGAAAAAAAUUAGAGAGUACAUUAGUUCAUGAAUCAUGACAAAAAUUUUAUCUCUCUAAAUAGAAAUAAAAAUUGAAUUAUAGGAAAGAAAGAAUAAAAACAAAAAAAGACAUCCCUCCUUUUUCCUUUUGCAAUUAGCUUCUUUUCUUUCUAUUUCGAUUUUUUUAUUUCAUUCCUAUUCUCCUUUCUCAGAAAAAGGGUCUUUAACCAAAGUAAAAGAUUACUUCGUUCUUGAUAGUUAGUUACUUACUCAGUGGAUAGGAACAUACUCUGGAUCAGAAUCAUGGGGAGUACUUCUUGAUCAUUUCUACGAACGUAAAGCCCCAAUUUGAAUUCCUUUUAUGUACAGAAAUAUCCUCUUGGAUAACUUACAUAAUCUCAAUUACUAAUCCUUUGUGUAUCUUAGUCUUCCUAACCAUCCACUCAUUUUUUGUUUCAAAAACCUCCCGUUGUGGAAAUCCAUCUAUGGUAAUAGACAGUAAAAACUCCAUAGAGUUGGUCUUUUGAACCCGCUUCAAGCUAUCAUGACAAUUCACGAAUCUUGGGGUAAACAAUCUCUCUUGCUUAUGUUUACUUUUUUCACCAUUUGAUUCUUGUACAUAGGAAAUGAGACUCAACUUUUUUACUGCAAAUUUAGAAGCCGUUUUCUUUCACUCAUAUAACUAUCUGAUUUAGUUCAUCAACUCAAAUGCUGAAGAAAAAAAAUAUAUAUAAUCAAUCAAAUCUUUUUAUCCUUGUUUCUAGAAAGAAAAGAAUUUGGAUAAAUUUUAGGUCUCACCGAAUCACACGUAGAGAUAUUGAUAACACACAUAGAGCUAAUGGUAUUUCAUAACUAAUUGAUUGAGCAGCUGCCCGUAGACCACCUAAAAAGGAAUAUUUAUUAUUUGAUCCAUACCCCGACAUAAGAAGUCCAACGGGAGCAAUACUUGAAAUGGCAAUCCAAAAAAAAACACCAAUACUAAGAUCGGCUAGAACAAGGUGAUCACCAAAAGGAAUUACUGAAUAACUUAGAAAGAUAGAUAUUACUGCUAUGGAUGGUCCGAUACUGAAUAAACGAGUAUCUCCUGUAGAUGGAAUAAGGUUCUCUUUCAAAAGUAGUUUUGUCCCAUCUGCUAGAGCUUGAAGAAUUCCUAACGGGCCGGCAUAUUCAGGCCCAAUACGUUGUUGUAUUCCUGCAGAUAUUUCUCUUUCUAACCAAACAAUUACUAGUACACCUAUUGUGAUUCCUAAUACAAGAGUCACAAUAGGGACAAGCAUCCAUAUGAUCCCAUAGACUUCUUUUAAGGAUUCCAAUUUGGAAAAAGAAUUGAUAGUCUCUAUUUCUGUUGUAUCAAUUAUCAUUUCAACGAUCAACUUCUCCCAUAAUGAUAUCUAUGCUACCUAGUAUUGUCAUAAUAUCAGCCAAUUUCAUUCUUUUAACUAACUGAGGAAGAAUUUGCAAAUUGAUAAAACCUGGUGGGCGAAUUUUCCAUCUCCAAGGAAAAACGCUCUGAUCUCCUAUCAGAAAAAUCCCCAAUUCUCCUUUUGGGGCUUCAACUCUCACAUAAAGUUCUUGUUUCGACAAUUCAAAAGUUGGAGAAGGCUUUUUACUAAUAAACCGAUAUUCAAAAUCAUUCCAUUCAGGAUCUUUUAAUCUGUCAAAACGUCGCAUUUCUAAAUUUUCGUAAGGCCCCCCUGGAAUUCCUUCCAGAGCCUGUUGAAUAAUCUUUAUGGAUUCUGUCAUUUCACCGAUUCGUACUAAAUAACGAGCUAAUGAAUCCCCUUCUCGUUGCCAUUGAACCUGCCAAUCAAAUUCGUCGUAAGACUCAUAAUGAUCAACUUUACGAAGAUCCCAUUCUAUUCCGGAAGCUCGUAGCAUUGGUCCCGAUAAACCCCAAUUUAAUGCCUCGUCUCUCCCAAUAAUGCCUACGCCUUCAACUCGUUCUAAAAAAAUAGGAUUCCGAGUAAUAAGUUUUUGAUACUCAGCAACCCCUGUUAAAAAAUAAUCGCAAAAAUCCAAACAUUUAUCUAUCCAGCCAUAGGGUAGAUCGGCAGCCACUCCUCCAAUCCUAAAAUAAUUAUGCAUCAUUCGCAUACCGGUGGCAGCUUCGAAUAGGUCAUAUAUCAAUUCUCUUUCUCUAAAAAUAUAGAAGAAAGGGGUCUGUGCACCAAUAUCCGCCAUAAAAGGACCGAGCCAUAACAAAUGAGAAGCUAUCCGACUCAACUCCAACAUAAUGACUCUGAUAUAGCUAGCCCUUUUAGGUACUUGAAUAUUGCCUAAUUGUUCGGGUCCAUUUAUGGUUAUUGCUUCUGUGAACAUAGUAGCUAAAUAAUCCCAACGUGUUACAUAAGGCAAAUAUUGUAUAAUUGUUCGGUUUUCCGCAAUUUUCUCCAUCCCUCUAUGUAAAUAACCCAAUAUUGGUUCGCAGUCGACAACAUCUUCACCAUCUAGAGUAACGAUGAGUCGAAGAACACCGUGCAUUGAUGGGUGCUGAGGCCCCAUAUUGACUAUCAUGAGGUCUUUUCUUGUAGUUGGUGCAGUCAUAAGUUUUUUAACGAUUCAUUCUUCCAUGAAUUACUGAAAGUGAAAAGAAGUUCAUCAAAAUUUAAUCGAAACAUAUAAGUGAAAAUGAAAUAACUCUUCAAAUUAAUCAAAUUAACGAGUUUUUGUCUCUCGAAUGUCCAACCGAUUAAUUAAUUCUUUAUAACGUACUCUAUUUUUUUUUGCCAAAUAAGCUAGCAGUCGUUGACGUUUUCCCAAAAUUUUCUUCAAACCUCUCUGAGAUAAAUAGUCUUUUUUGUGCAAUUCUAAAUGUGAAGUAAGUCUUCGUAUCUUAUUGGUGAAAUUGAAUACUUGAAAUUCAACAGAUCCUUUCUUUUCUUCUUGAGAAAUAACUGAAAUGACAGAAUUUUUUACCAUAAAUGAAUUUCCCCUUUCUUUAUUUUACAGAUAUGGAUUUUUUCGAAUUUUAUUGAUCAGUAAUAAUAAUGCCAGUAAUUUAAACGUGGUAUAUAGACUUAAUUUCUUUAUGAACCUCUAAUUUUAGCAAUUCCAAUAAAUUAAUCAAAUUUCAAAUUUGAUUCAGAUAGGAAUCCAAAAAGACGGUAGGUACGUUUUUUUUAAUCACAAAAGCGAAUAAUUGAAACCUAAAAUCCUAAAAUGAAGAAGAUUCUGUUGAUUCAUUUCUAGAUCUAAUCAAUACCUUAUUUUAUUGAUUUAGUAUUGUCUACUCGAAUUAGAUUCGAAUGAGAUGUAAAACAAGGCAUGUUUGCAUUUAUUUGCUUUCAGAUACUCUAUACGAGACAGGGUAUAUAGUACUAUCAAUUAAUUUUCAAUCGUGGAUACAUAUGUAUCCUUAAGAUACUGAAACGGCUACCAUUAUUGGUAUCAAACCAAUAACGAUUCAUACAAGCUAAAUCUUCUAAUCGAUAAUUAGGCCAAAAAAAGAACUUAAAUUUAAUUAAUUCAUUUUUAUCUUUAUAAAGGGGUUUCCGUUCACCCAAAAAUUGACUCCAGUUUUUUACAUUGGUUUCGUUGCAAAAUACUGAAUUUCUAUCGACGACAUUCCAAUUCCAAGAAUUAAAAAAACUUCGAAUUCUCAACUCUCUACGACGUCUAGACCAUAAAAUAUUUUCAGGAACAAGCAAACCAAAAUGAGUUUUUUCUGUAUUUAUUCUUUGAGUUUGAGGUUGCAGAAUGAAUUCGUCAAAAUUCUUUUUAUCAACAUAUCUUUGUUCUCGGUAUCUUUGAUUAGUUUGGUGUUUACUUUUAUGAACCAAUGAAAUACCUAUGGUUUGAUACAUAAUAAAUUGUCCAUUAUCUUUUACAGACAACCGAAUAGGUUCGAUAAUCAAUACCCCCUUCUUCAUCAAGUCUGUAAGAGGUAAAUUUGCCUGAAUCAGCAUUAUAUCCAAACUCAUUUCUCUCCUUUGAAUUGACGAUAUAGUAAUUUUGGUUGGAUUUAUCAGUCGAAGCAGGAGACAAUAUACCUUGAUAUUUUCGAACAUUCUUUGAUUCAAAGCACCGUUCCAUCUCAAUUGAAAAAGCAAAUAACGUUUCAAGAACAAAUCUAGUUCUGCUUCCGUGUUGCUUUUGUAUUGUUUUUUAUUUUUACCCUUUUUUGUGUCUGAUUCCACGUAAUCUUUUUCAAGAUCGGUUUGAUGUUUUGAAAAAACAGGGCUCAGAUUUCCUUUGUUUUCUAUAUCUGAUCCACGCUCUCUUUGACUUGGGGGUUCUUUUGCUUCUUGACUUCGAUUCUUUAUUUUUAUUUUUUUAUUUGAUGGUAGAAAAAAGUUUUGGUUUUUAUUUUGACUAACAUUUUUAUUUGUAUUCAAAUUAAAAAGAAGGAAUUUGCUUGGUAUAAUCCACGGUUUUAUUUUAUAGACAUUAUAAAGUAGUACAAAUUCUGGGAAGAACCAAAAUUCCAGAUUCAAUAUGGGACGAUUAAAUAUUUUUUCAUUCAUUCCCAUCCAAUCAAAAAAGACUUUUUUCGAAUUUUUUUGAGUUUUUUCUGGAUGUUGAUGAGUUGUAAGAUAAAAAACCCCCUUUUUCUCAAUUUUAUCAAUUAUUUGAUAAUUAUUAAUACCAAUUUUAGUAUUUGGAUUACUGUUGGUAUCGAUCUUAACCCAGGCUUCAAUAUCUCCUUUUUGUCUAAGAGAAAAAUGGAUAAUUUUCCAAUCAAAAUAUUUUCUAUCGAGAUUUCUUUCUCUAUCUAGAAUAUUGCCCUUUCUUAGAUAAUUAUUGAUAUGAAGAUUGCCGGGCAUAUCAACAAAGUUGUGUUUGGACGUGUUGGAAUUAUACGAAAUUUCUAAGUUCUUCUUUACUUGAACUUCAAAGGGUAAUCUAGAAAAAAAUGAGUCACUUUUAUUUUCAUAAUUAAUCGAUUUAUAUGCUAAAAGACCAUAUCCAUAACAUUUUUUAAAAUUAUCUUUUUCGUUUGAUAAUGAAUAGAGUUCCGAAUCAUUUUCUUUUUUGUAAUGAAGUAAUUGGUCUUUUUCAUAUGAAUUCCAUUUGUUUAAGUUUCUAUUUUUAUUUUGAGCCAUACAACUUUGAUUAACCCUAGUUCGCCAUUUUUUUGGCAUUAAUCUAGACCAUCUAAUCUGAGAUAAAUCGUAUUGAUAAUGCCAUCUUAACCAGUUUUUCCAUUGAUUUAUUCUAUAACUCUGAAGUUUCUUAUCUUUUAAUUCCGAAUGAAAUAUUCCUAGUGUUUUAAAAUAGUCCUUUAUUUUAGUCUUAAGGAAACAAGACGUU
rnacentral:lncRNA from 1 species